UGAGACGGAGACACCCCGGGAAACUGGGGCUAAUCCCCGAUAGAUGAGAACCCUUGGAACAGGUUCUCGUCCAAAAGGCAUCAAGAUCAUGCUUCUCGGUGUCGCUCAAGGAUGGGGCCGCGGCCGAUCAGGCUGUUGGUGAGGCAACGGCUCACCAAACCUAUAACCGGUACGGGCCGUGGGAGCGGGAGCCCGGAGAUGGGAACUGAGACAAGGUCCCAGGCCCUACGGGGCGCAGCAGUUGCGAAAACUCCGCAAUGCACGAAAGUGUGACGGGGCUACCCCGAGUGCCGUCCGCUGAGGAUGGCUUUUCCCUGGUGUAAGGAGCCGGGGGAAUAAGGAGAGGGCAAGUCUGGUGUCAGCCGCCGCGGUAAUACCAGCUCUCCGAGUGGUGGGGAUGAUUAUUGGGCUUAAAGCGUCCGUAGCCUGCCCUUCAAGUCUCUCGUUAAAUCCAGCGAUUCAAUCGUUGGACUGCGGGAGAUACUGUUGGGCUAGGAGGCGGGAGAAGCCGACGGUAUNUCCNGGGUAGGGGUAAAAUCCUAUAAUCNCNGGAGGACCACCAGUGG
rnacentral:rRNA from 1 species